GAUGUAGCUCAGUGGUAGAGUGCUUGCCUUAUAUGCUUGAAGUCCUGGGUUCAAUCCCUAAUAUC
rnacentral:tRNA from 1 species